AUAUUGCUAACUUCUUAGUCCUUUGAAGAAAAAUCAAAUUUCUUCUUGAGGAAAGACUUUUGAAACCCACAAUAUGAAUUCAAGAAGCAAAAAGAAAAUCAGAUUUCACAAACAGGAUACCAGUAGCUUGGAAGAAUCCAUUGCUUUUGCAGGGUUUGUUGUUGAGGGAACCCUGUCUUUCCCAGUGCCCUUGACAUUUCUUCCUCAAAUAAAAAAGGCACAUUGAUCCGGAAUGGUUAAAGAUUUGUCUCAUUUCCUUGCCAAGGAGGAUUAUGUUUCCAGCUUUUUGUUAAUUCUCAGCAUUUCAACCAUUGCUGCUGAUAACAUCCUGCAUUACUGUGCUAGGUAUUCCUUGGACCCAAGGAGUGGAAAGGGGGGUUUAAUCUGGACUGAGUUGGAGGAAAGGAAUAGGUGCCAGAGUAGAGGCCAGAAGGAUGGUGGAACUGGCACUGGGCCGGAACACAGAAAAUGGAAUCUAAUGCUAGGGGAGGUCUGAUGGCCUGGAGGAUAGGAAGAGGGGACCCACGAAGAAGUAGAAGUCACAUUUAACUCUAUUCUCACCAUUCCUCUCUUGGGCCUGUCCUAAACUGGAAGUUGGAGGAGGAUGGAGUGCUGGAAUGCUGCAGAAGUCUCAUGGGAGGGUGCCUGGUGCUCAGCACACAUGUACACGGUUGCUUAACCAGAUGAAAAUUUGAAUGCUGGGGUUCAGUGGAACACCUGAAGGAAGCUGGUGAGGCAGAUGCCCCACUGUGCCUUCCACGGGUCAUGCAGCCAGUUCAUGUGUGUCAGCAUUGCAGCCAGUGGACUCUGAGUCAGCAGAUCUACAGAGCAGAGAGCCCCAAGUGGGGACAGAUGUGGUCAAAUGCCACUUAAAUCACCGAUUCUCAAACCAGGAGUUGUCAUGGUACCAGCCUUGAGUGAGCUGGAACAAGGGAAGUGGUAGAAUUCUUCAUGAAGGACCGAGUGAGCAGGUAGAAAUGUCUCCAUUUUAACUUUUUCUGAGUCAAUCUAAGAAACAUCUAGUGCCUUUUUCUG